rnacentral:lncRNA from 10 species
CAGGUGCGGAUCUGAGUGUACAGCUGUAAACAAGUCUGAUAUGAAGCCUGUUUUGUCAUGUGAAAUACAAAAUAAAUAAGCAAACCAAUAGGUAAACAAGAUCAUUUCAGGUGGUGAAAAAUUCCAUGAAGAAAAUACAAUGAGCACCGGAGUGUCGUGUUGGGAAAUGAAGAAGCAGAAGAAGAGAAUGGUACCAUCUUGGCACUCAUGCCCUCCAUUUGUAAAUGAAUAGAUUGUGACAACUCCUACAAUGCUGUUUUCUGAGGCUCCAGAGUAUAAUCUAUGCAUUUUCUGCCUGCCAAGAAAUUCAGCUCUUUCCUCCCUCAAGUUGCUCAAUAACUAAAUUGAUGAUUCUACUAAUUUGGGCACCACCCUGUGUCUUUAUUAGGACCUGCUCUCCAUCGCAUGUCUUAAAAGUAUUGAAAAAGUCAUAAGGGGUUGACAUUGGAAACCACACUGUCUUGUUCCAUACUACAUUCUAAACAUUUGCUGUCAAGGUUAAAGAGAAACUAAUGAGAAAUCUAAAACUCAGGGGAAAAGGCUUUCAAAAGACCUGAAUCAUUAGGGUACUCUGUUUAAAGCCCCAUCUUUUGUUCAUAAUAAAAAUUAGACCUUUUUUUGUCACGUUACAGAAACAAUACAUGUUCACUGUAGAAAACUAAAUGCAGAUAAGACAAAAGAAGGUAAAAACACCAAUAAUUUUACACACAAGUUGGGAAUCCAUGAUUAACCUUAGGGGUGAUUUAUGUACAUCAUAUAUAUAUAAAUUUAUGGCCACUCUGCUUUGGGGUAAGUUGUUCUGUAGCAAUAGACAGCUGGAACAAGUAGCAAGCAAGUUUCUAUUAUGUUGGUGUUUUAGUCAAGAAUCUACUGAGGAACUGAACCAAUAGGAUACACACACAUAUGCAUGCACACACACAUAUAGCUAUAGCAGGGGGAUUUAUUAUAAAGAACUGGCUCACAGGAUUAUGAAGACUGAGAAGUCCCACGAUUUGCCCUCUCCAAGCUGGAGACCUAGGAAAGUUGGUGGUAUAAUUCAUCUGUGCCCAAACGCCUGAGAACUGGGGAGCCAGUGGUGUAAAUCCAAGUCUAAGAGCUGGAGAUGACAUGAGAUGUACCAGCUCAAGAAGUGAGGCAGCAAUCAUGUGUGCAUAUGUGUGUCUUUAGGAGUACUGUAUAUAUCAAGAUAAAAGGGGCAUUAACGAGUACUAUCCAAGUGUGGCCAUUUUCCCAUUUGGGGAGAAGGUCAAGAAAGAGAUGAACAAGUACCUUUCCCUAGGUUGGAUGGAUGUAGAGGACUUGAGCUAUCAGGCUCUGCUUUUGCAGAUUUCCUGUCUGCACUGCAGUCUCUGUGUGACAACUCACAAUGGUUACAGUCUACUGUAUAUAACAGCCUUGCAGUUAAGGGAGGAGACCACCCCGAUAUUGUCUUAUGCCCAAUUUCUGCCUCCGAAGAAAAAAAGAAGUAAAAACUAAAAGGCAGAAAUGAAACCCACAGGCAGACAGCCCGGCGCCACACCCUGGGGCUAGUAGUUAAAGAUCAACCCCUGACCUAAUCGGUUAUGCUAUCUAUAGAUUACAGACAUUGUAUGGAAAAAUCCCUGUCCUGUUCUGUUCCAUUCUAAUUACCGGUGCAGGUGCAUGCAGCCCCCAGUCAUGUACCCCCUGCUUGCUCAAUCAAUCAUGACCCUCUCACACGGACCCCCUUAGAGUUGUAAGCCCUUAAAAGGGACAGGAAUUGCUCACUCGGGGAGCUCAGUUUUUGGAGACGUGAGUCUGUCAAUGCUCCCAGCUGAAUAAA